rnacentral:rRNA from 1 species
AACGAACGCUGGCGGCAUGCCUAACACAUGCAAGUCGAACGAGACCUUCGGGUCUAGUGGCGCACGGGUGCGUAACGCGUGGGAACCUGCCCUUAGGUUCGGAAUAACUCCCCGAAAGGGGUGCUAAUACCGGAUAAUGUCUUCGGACCAAAGAUUUAUCGCCUUUGGAUGGGCCCGCGUUGGAUUAGCUAGUUGGUAGGGUAAAAGCCUACCAAGGCGACGAUCCAUAGCUGGUCUGAGAGGAUGAUCAGCCACACUGGGACUGGGACACGGCCCAGACUCCUACGGGAGGCAGCAGUGGGGAAUAUUGGACAAUGGGCGGAAGCCUGAUCCAGCAAUGCCGCGUGAGUGAUGAAGGCCUUAGGGUUGUAAAGCUCUUUUACCCGGGAUGAUAAUGACAGUACCGGGAGAAUAAGCUCCGGCUAACUCCGUG